rnacentral:rRNA from 1 species
AUUGAACGCUGGCGGCAUGCCUUACACAUGCAAGUCGAACGGUAACGGGCCUUCGGGUGCCGACGAGUGGCGAACGGGUGAGUAAUACAUCGGAACGUGCCUGAUCGUGGGGGAUAACGAGGCGAAAGCUUUGCUAAUACCGCAUACGAUCUACGGAUGAAAGCAGGGGACCGCAAGGCCUUGCGCGGACGGAGCGGCCGAUGGCAGAUUAGGUAGGUGGUGGGAUAAAAGCUUACCAAGCCGACGAUCUGUAGCUGGUCUGAGAGGAUGAUCAGCCACACUGGGACUGAGACACGGCCCAGACUCCUACGGGAGGCAGCAGUGGGGAAUUUUGGACAAUGGGCGCAAGCCUGAUCCAGCCAUGCCGCGUGCAGGAUGAAGGCCUUCGGGUUGUAAACUGCUUUUGUACGGAACGAAAAGCCUUCUUUUAAUACAGGAGGGUCAUGACGGUACCGUAAGAAUAAGCACCGGCUAACUACGU